CGGAUGUGGGGAGCUGAACAGCCUAACCUGGCCUUGUAGUCCCUGAGAUAAUGGUCUACCUUAUCUAUCACACCCCUAAAGUAACGGAGCAAGCUGAUUCCCAACUGGCAUCUCAGAACCCUUAGUGGACAAUUUCCCACCAACGCAUUGGACUGUUAUUUGAGCAGCUGGAGAGAAAGAGACGUUUAUAGACGUGCAAUGAAGCCAGGGAGGUUUAUGCAUCACAGAUAUUGAGACAGAGUACUCUGGAAAUAAACUACAGACACGGUCGCCUUCUA